GUCCCCGUAGCUCAGUUGGAUAGAGCGUUUGACUCCGGAUCAAAAGGCCGUGCGUUCGAAUCGCGUCGGGGACACCA
rnacentral:tRNA from 3 species